rnacentral:lncRNA from 1 species
CUCUCAUAUAUUUUUACUAGCAUAAUUAAAAUAUAUAUAUAUCACGUAAUUCUCGUGAUUAUUUUUUUGAGAGAUAGAUAACACGCUACUCGCUUCGUUUAUUUCAUUUAGAAAUAAACUUAGCUAAAAAAUGUGAAUCAACUAGGAUUCGAACUUGGGUCUCAGGUACCAACCACCAAGCCCUUUGCCACUUGCUCUAGGGACGGUCGGUUUCUCUCCAGAAAUUAUUACCUACACAUUGUGUACAUGCACAGUUCCUAUACUAUUAUUUUUAUUGUAAUUAUUAUUUAUUAUUUUAUACUCUAAAUAUAUUUACUUUGAUGUGUAUAAUAUAUAACUGGACUAUAAUACUAUUGAUGGUGCAGAAAUAGCAUUUGUUAUUUACUUUUCAUUCCUAGCAUUCCUAGGAUUUACUAUUUUAUGAUUGUAAAUAUUAUUUAUUUACUAUCAAUAGAACUAUGCUAGUUAAACAAUCUCUCUCUCUAUAAUAUAUAAUAAUAUAAAUAUUGAUAACCUACAAAUAAAAACAAGCACUAUAAUAAAAUACUAGUUAAGGGACUCGCGUAAUGCUGCGGGUAGUUAUUUUAAAAUUUAAUUUUGAAAAUUAGUUAUAAAAAUUAAUUUAAGAAUAAUUAUGAAAUAUUACGGACAAAUUACGAAAUAAUUUUAAAUAAAUGCAGCUAUCUUCCCUAAUAUAAAAAAUAUAAGGAGCUCUCUCAACAAUAAGAUAUUUUGAAAUAGUUCUUCAGCUUUAUUAAAUAUUUUCUCGUCUUGUUCUCUUUUAUUUGAUUUGAUAUUACUAAUUUUGUAAGGUUAUUUAUAAUAUUUCUAAUAAUUUCAGGGGUACGAAUAAAAUUAUUCCAUACUAAUUAUUCCAAACAUGACCGCAUGUCUAAGAGGUUGAAAAAUAAUAAAUGGUGCAAUAAUUACAUCAAAAAAUUUUAAUAGGCAUGGUAGUCCCCCAUUAGUUAAUGAAAUAAUUUUUAGUAGGUAUCGUAGUCCCCUAGUAGUUAGUGAAUGAGAAGAGAAAUUAUUGCUUGUGAUUCUCGCAAUUAACUUUCGUCAAAUAUAAAAUUAACUUAAGAAGCAUAAAUCUUUUUUUUUAUUUUUUAAUGUACAAUUUAUAUAUGAAUGCUCAAUAUUAUAAAAUUAACAUUUAUAUCUAAUACCAAUAGUCUAAAUUAUUUAACAUUUAUUUAUAUAUUUUAUAUUUUAUAAAAAUAAAUAGUAAAUUAUAUAAUAAAUUAUUAUAUAAUAAUAUAUCUAUAUAAAAUAAAAUACUAUAUAUAAUAAAUAAAUAUAUAUUUAUAAAUAAAAUUAUAUAU